UAACGGCGAGUGAAGCGGCAAUAGCUCAAAUUUGAAAUCUGCUCUUUUAGAGUCGAAUUGUAAUUUGUAGAGGAUGCUUCGGCUUACGUUUCGGUCUAAGUUCCUUGGAACAGGACGUCACAGAGGGUGAGAAUCCCGUUUGUGGCCGAGACUUCCGCCAUGUGAAGCUCCUUCGACGAGUCGAGUUGUUUGGGAAUGCAGCUCUAAAUGGGAGGUAUAUUUCUUCUAAAGCUAAAUACCGGCCAGAGACCGAUAGCGCACAAGUAGAGUGAUCGAAAGAUGAAAAGCACUUUGGAAAGAGAGUUAAAAAGUACGUGAAAUUGUUGAAAGGGAAGCGCUUGCGACCAGACUUGCCCGCGGAUGCUCAACCGGUCCUUCGGCCGGUGCACUCUUCCGCGGUCAGGCCAGCAUCAGUUCGAGUAGCCAGAUAAAGGCAUUGGGAAUGUGGCUCUCUUCGGGGAGUGUUAUAGCCCUUUGUGCAAUAUGGCUCAUUUGGACUGAGGCCCGCGCUUCGGCUAGGAUGCUGGCGUAAUGGUCGUAAGCGGCCCGUCUUGAAACACGGACCAAGGAGUCUAACAUCUAUGCGAGUGUUUGGGUGUCAAACCCGUGCGCGAAAUGAAAGUGAACGGAGGUGGGAACCUUAGGGUGCACCAUCGACCGAUCCUGAUGUCUUCGGAUGGAUUUGAGUAAGAGCAUAGCUGUUGGGACCCGAAAGAUGGUGAACUAUGCCUGAAUAGGGUGAAGCCAGAGGAAACUCUGGUGGAGGCUCGCAGCGGUUCUGACGUGCAAAUCGAUCGUCAAAUUUGGGUAUAGGGGCGAAAGACAAUCGAAC
rnacentral:rRNA from 1 species